CUAUGAACCUUUUCUUCUGGGAAGAGGGGAGCCAUCAGUGAGAUACCACUCUUGGUAAGCUAGAGCGCUCAGUCUUCACCGUCAUCCGGUAAGACGACAGUUUCAGGCGGGCAGUUUGACUGGGGCAGUCACCUCCCAAAAGGUAAUGGAGGUGUGCAAAGGUUCCCUCAGGCUGGACGGAAAUCAGCCAUAGAGUGUAAAAGCAUAAGGGAGCUUGACUGCGAGACUGACAUGUCAAGCAGAGACGAAAGUCGGCUUUAGUGAUCCGACGGUGCUGUGUGGAAAGGCCGUCGCUCAACGGAUAAAAGUUACUCUAGGGAUAACA
rnacentral:rRNA from 1 species